rnacentral:rRNA from 1 species
UACGUAGGGGGCGAGCGUUGUCCGGAAUCAUUGGGCGUAAAGCGCGUGUAGGCGGCUCGGUAAGUCUGCUGUGAAAGUCCAGGGCUCAACCCUGGAAUGCCGGUGGAUACUGUCGAGCUUGAGUCCGGAAGAGGCGAGUGGAAUUCCUGGUGUAGCGGUGAAAUGCGCAGAUAUCAGGAGGAACACCAAUGGCGAAGGCAGCUCGCUGGGACGUGACUGACGCUGAGACGCGAAAGCGUGGGGAGCGAACAGG